AACGAACGCUGGCGGCAGGCCUAACACAUGCAAGUCGAGCGAGCAUUUCGGUGCUAGCGGCGGACGGGUGAGUAACGCGUGGGAACGUGCCCUUUUCUGCGGAAUAGUCCUGGGAAACUGGGGGUAAUACCGCAUACGCCCUUUUGGGGAAAGAUUUAUCGGAGAAGGAUCGGCCCGCGUUGGAUUAGGUAGUUGGCGGGGUAAUGGCCCACCAAGCCGACGAUCCAUAGCUGGUUUGAGAGGAUGAUCAGCCACACUGGGACUGAGACACGGCCCAGACUCCUACGGGAGGCAGCAGUGGGGAAUCUUAGACAAUGGGGGCAACCCUGAUCUAGCCAUGCCGCGUGAGUGAUGAAGGCCUUAGGGUUGUAAAGCUCUUUCAGCUGGGAAGAUAAUGACGGUACCAGCAGAAGAAGCCCCGGCUAACUCCGUG
rnacentral:rRNA from 1 species